rnacentral:sRNA from 2 species
AUCAUCAUUGGUGGUGCAGUAUCCUAGUCAGGCCUGUCAUACCCAAGACGGGGUUAAAAUACCGUUAAAGGGCAUAUCGAUGAAGUUUCUGGUGGUGGCUCGCGUUGCCCAAACGAGGGUUGCUGCUGGGAGUUAAGGAUUUUGGGCGAGUCGUAACGGCAUACGACACCCGACCCAAUUUCCGUGGAGGCCUGUUGCGGUAGCCGUGAAAACCGGUUACUGGACAGGGAAAACCUGUAUCGCGGUUAACGCUGUGUGCAGAGUAGCCUGCUUUGAGCGGGAUAUGCGGACACGGGAACCACGGCUAGGAAGUCGGCGGACUUCCGACCCGAUCGCCCGUCGAAACUUAUUUCGCAAAAGAAGCUAAGUGUGAACUGUGGUCUGUUAAGGAAAUCUUCUAGGCUGUUCGACAGAGAUGUUUCAGGGAUUAUAGUGUGCUCUAAGUGGCAAUCCGGUCCCGGACGGGGUAACCCGUCGGUUUACGACGUAAUAGGAAACUCCUCUCUCGGCGACGGAGAGUUGUCGUAAAGAGAAAUUCAACCGGACCUGAUGGCGCAAGGUUUACCUGAAAUAUUACCACCAUUUGAUAGU